rnacentral:rRNA from 1 species
UACGGGGGGGGCAAGCGUUGUUCGGAAUUACUGGGCGUAAAGGGCUCGUAGGUGGCCAACUAAGUCAGACGUGAAAUCCCUCAGCUUAACUGGGGAACUGCGUCUGAUACUGGAUGGCUUGAGUCUGGGAGAGGGAUGCGGAAUUCCAGGUGUAGCGGUGAAAUGCGUAGAUAUCUGGAGGAACACCGGUGGCGAAGGCGGCAUCCUGGACCAACACUGACACUGAGGAGCGAAAGCCAGGGGAGCAAACGGG